rnacentral:rRNA from 1 species
GAUGAACGCUGGCGGCGUGCCUAAUACAUGCAAGUCGAGCGAACAGACGAGGAGCUUGCUCCUCUGACGUUAGCGGCGGACGGGUGAGUAACACGUGGAUAACCUACCUAUAAGACUGGGAUAACUUCGGGAAACCGGAGCUAAUACCGGAUAAUAUAUUGAACCGCAUGGUUCAAUAGUGAAAGACGGUUUUGCUGUCACUUAUAGAUGGAUCCGCGCCGCAUUAGCUAGUUGGUAAGGUAACGGCUUACCAAGGCGACGAUGCGUAGCCGACCUGGGAGGGUGAUCGGCCACACUGGAACUGAGACACGGUCCAGACUCCUACGGGAGGCAGCAGUAGGGAAUCUUCCGCAAUGGGCGAAAGCCUGACGGAGCAACGCCGCGUGAGUGAUGAAGGUCUUCGGAUCGUAAAACUCUGUUAUUAGGGAAGAACAAAUGUGUAAGUAACUAUGCACGUCUUGACGGUACCUAAUCAGAAAGCCACGGCUAACUACGUG